AUGAACGCUGGCGGCGUGCCUCAUCCAUGCAAGUCGAGCGAACGGACGAGAAGCUUGCUUCUCUGAUGUUAGCGGCGGACGGGUGAGUAACACGUGGAUAACCUACCUAUAAGACUGGGAUAACUUCGGGAAACCGGGGCUAAUACCGGAUAAUAUUUUGAACCGCAUGGUUCAAAAGUGAAAGACGGUCUUGCUGUCACUUAUAGAUGGAUCCGCGCUGCAUUAGCUAGUUGGUAAGGUAACGGCUUACCAAGGCAACGAUGCAUAGCCGACCUGAGAGGGUGAUCGGCCACACUGGAACUGAGACACGGUCCAGACUCCUACGGGAGGCAGCAGUAGGGAAUCUUCCGCAAUGGGCGAAAGCCUGACGGAGCAACGCCGCGUGAGUGAUGAAGGUCUUCGGAUCGUAAAACUCUGUUAUUAGGGAAGAACAUAUGUGUAAGUAACUGUGCACAUCUUGACGGUACCUAAUCAGAAAGCCACGGCUAACUACGUG
rnacentral:rRNA from 1 species